rnacentral:rRNA from 1 species
UACAGAGGGGGCUAGCGUUAUUCGGAAUUAUUGGGCGUAAAGGGCGCGUAGGCGGCCAUGCGUGUCUUCCGUGAAAUCCCUCGGCUUAACUGAGGACGUGCGGAAGAAACUGCAAGGCUCGAGUCCGGGAGAGGGGGGUGGAAUUCCCAGUGUAGCGGUGAAAUGCGUAGAUAUUGGGAGGAACACCGGUGGCGAAGGCGGCCCCCUGGACCGGAACUGACGCUGAGGCGCGAAAGCGGUGGGUAGCAAACGGG